rnacentral:lncRNA from 1 species
GCCUUCCCAAGACACUGCAUGAUUUAGUGAGGGGUCUCCUGUAACUCAAACCCUUCCCUAUUCACUGGCUUGACAAAAAAUAAUGCUAGGAUGGAUUCUUUGGAAUCCAACUCUUUUGUAGUAGGUGAUCAUUUAUAGUUCCCGCCUUAGCUUCCCACAGACCUUCAGACCUAACCACUCUCAAGCAACUCUUUAUCUUCUAUCUACAAAGGCAGGUCUCCGUGUUCCUUGCCUGUGAAUAAAUGGAGGAGUGACACUGUGUAUCCACCACCACUGGCACCUCCCUGGAGCAAUCUCAAGGGCUCGAUGGUAGAGAACACUUUGUUCGGGGGAGAGCUGUGCAUUUGCUUCCAGGCCCUUACCAGAACCACUGACGGGAUCUACGCACUUUUGUCUGCUAAUAAGAUGAGGCAAGGCCCCGAGGGAGAACAGGUGACAAGAGGGCUUGGUGGAGCAAGGCCUAGCUGAGAAAAGGACUGCCUUCCUCCCCACCCAUUCAUCAGAAAACCAUCAAGCAUGACGUCCUGGCUCCGGUUAUAGACCAACCCUUUUUUCCACCCCCUGCAUUUCUCUUAUCUCUACCACUAUAAAUAAACACUGCUGUGGUUGCUUGGUGGUCUUUUUCCUCCCAUCAGGAGUUAGAGCUCCACCUGGCC